rnacentral:lncRNA from 10 species
AAAUAAUAAUUUUACGAAGUAACAAGUGCCUGUCCACAUCCAUUCCUAUAUGGCUUAGAACAAUUAAUUGGCUAUAUGUCCUUUGUCUCUUAAGGCCCUUGGCCAUAGGGAGUCCUGCCAAGGGACAAAAACAACAACAACAACAACAACAACAAAAACACAAAAAACCACUGUAGAAUUAUUUGACUUCUCCUGUGACAAAACUUCCUCUUCUCUCCCAAAUACCAGUCAGUAUAUGGUGCAAUACAAAAAUGGUAGGAAAAAUAGAUUUGUCUACUGUUAACAA